ACCUGGGGAGAAAGAGAGGUGGACAGGACAGGGAGAGAAUAUAAUCACCUGGGGAGAAAGAGAGGUGGACAGGGAGAGAAUAUAAACACCUGGGGAGAAAGAGAGGUUGACAGGGAGAGAAUAUAAACACCUGGGGAGAAAGAGAGGUGGACAGGGAGAGAAUAUAAACACCUGGGGAGAAAGAGAGGUUGACAGGGAGAGAAUAUAAACACCUGGGGAGAAAGAGAGGUGGACAGGGAGAGAAUAUAAACACCUGGGGAGAAAGAGAGGUUGACAGGGAGAGAAUAUAAACACCUGGGGAGAAAGAGAGGUGGACAGGGAGAGAAUAUAAACACCUGGGGAGAAAGAGAGGUUGACAGGGAGAGAAUAUAAACACCUGGGGAGAAAGAGAGGUGGACAGGGAGAGAAUAUAAACACCUGGGGAGAAAGAGAGGUUGACAGGGAGAGAAUAUAAACACCUGGGGAGAAAGAGAGGUGGACAGGGAGAGAAUAUAAACACCUGGGGAGAAAGAGAGGUGGACAGGGAGAGAAUAUAAUCACCUGGAUACACUGGAAUCAGAAAACUGACCCAACCAUACCUACUGUUGACAUUGUGUAUGGACAUCAUAUGGAGAUAUGAGUAUUGAGAAAUUAAGACAGGAAAUGAAAGGUUCUGGUACUAACAUUUCCUGGAUAGAUUUGUGUAACUUGGUUGUAUGGUGUUA